rnacentral:lncRNA from 1 species
GCGCGCGCCAAUGACCUUUGUGUACUUUGGGUUUUUUUUUUUUAAUGGGUUGUAGAAUUUAUUAGCACUGCUCUUUUUCCCCACUUGCAGCUAAACAAGCAGAUAACAAAGCAUAGGAGAGUCUAGCUGCUAUAAGUCGUCUAUUCUGAUGGUUGUGUGAAUUCCCAGCUGUCUUUGCUGCUCUGUGUUCCUGUUUAAAACAGCCACAAGAUGCCUAGAGGCUCAUAACUGCUGAGUGUCAAGAAUUCUGGUUACCAUUUAUUUUCUUUCCAAUCAUCUUAAUUUAUUGUGACCUGCUUCUGACACUCACUGUAAGAAGUGUGGAUCCUAUGAAGAAUGAUUUGUUUCCCAACAGUGGCUUUUUGUUCUGGUAUGUUUUUUUUUUCUGAUUUUUCUCUGAAUAACUUAGACCAGAAAGAUUCAAGGUUGUAUGAAGGCUUAAAUGGUGGCGUUUCCUAAAGCACUUGGAUUUGCAUAUUGAACUUUAAUUCUGACCAAGAAAAUGCAUCAGAUAAGGGCACAAAUACUGUCUAGAAUCAGUAAUGCCACUAGGUAUCAUAAGUGUCUUUAUAAGCAAGUCAUAACUCACUCUAGAAGCUUGUACAUGAUGACAACUCUGUCCUGGGGCAGUAUGGCCCUCUUGGAUGAGAUGGAGGGUAUUCAGGGAGUGGCCCAGGAUUUUUAAAACCUGAUUUACGGAUCAUUAAAAAGACAUUUAGAGUGUCAUUUUAUUCUACUGCAAAACUCAAGAUCUGAAAUUCAAGGAUCUUGAGAAAAGAAGCUUGGCCUUGAUUAUACCAGGUACUUUGUUUAUCUUUUUAGACUAAGUUAUUCUAUCACUGGAAUUAAAGGUUAUAAUACCUCCUCAUUAUAACCAUCUAUUUAUUAUUAUUACCAACCUCUGCUUCCUUAUCAAUCACAAAAGAGAGAAAAGAGAGGAGGAAAGGAAGAGGGGUAUUGGAAAGUUUGCAUGCCAUUGUCUAUGGACUGGCCCCAUGACCAUUUUAUUUUUAUACUGUGAGAUUUUUAUUGAUCUCCCCCAAAGAGAAACAGCAUGUACCUCUUAUUUCCACAGAUAUGCAAACACUGUUGGCCCUCCCAAAUUCCACUGCUGUGGUCUGGCUUCUUUUAAUCGCUGCCUUAGGGACAAUGGAGCACUUGCUAAAACUGCUCAGAUCUGUGGCCAUGUCCUCAAUCUUGCCCUCAUAAUAGACAUUGUGGCAAUGCUGCUGAUUCACAAGGCUCAGAGGAGCAAGUCCCCCUCCAGGUCCCCAACACUGAGGCUGAGCUGAGGGGGAUGAAAAGGAAGAGGUAGGAGAAGGGCAUGAGUUGGCAGUCUUGUGUUGUGUGCUCAUUUGAAGUGUCCAUUGUAUCCAGUAGGGUUUUUGGUUAUAAGGAAUACAAAAUGGCUAUUGCUGACAAAAAAGAAAAUAUGAUGAAAAAUGAUCAAUAAGUGUGAAGAUAAGGGUACAGAGUUAUGCUUGAAAUAGGCAGGUAGAUGAGGUAGGGGCCUUCCAUGUGCUCAUCAGAAGCUACCCAUUGGCACUCAUGUCAAUGUUUGGCACACUUAGAUGGUAGUGCACAUAUUCCAGGUUGUCUGCAUUCUCCCAAACCUUCAGAUGGACCCUUGACUCUCUAAGUCGCCCCCUAUUAUAUAUACCUUCCCUGAAUAAACUCUUAAUUCAUCUUGGUGAUAGUUUUAACUGAUACUUCAGCUCAACAAAAUAACCAUUUAUCUCACCAAAAUUACCAAACGAGCCAGGAACCAUUAUUGUAACUCAUUUAUGGAUAAAAGUUGUUGGUAAAGAUGGCACCCAGAGUGCUUCUCUUCCGGGAGCUCAGGUCCAGUGACGCACUAAAGGCCAGCGAACCAUCACCUCCAAUCCCUGUGAAUGACGCGAAUUUUGAAUGGUGCACCUCCAAUCCCUGAAGUGGCGCGAACUCUCAGCCAAUGAAGAAGUAACAGCCCACUUGCCUUGCUCCUCUUCAUCCUGUGUUAAGCCCAUAAAUAUCAAUUUCCCUGUUCAUGUUCAUUCUCUUACUCUACUCUCUCUUACUCUCUCUCCCCCUCUCCUCUCUCUCCCUCCCCUCCCCUCCCCUCCCCUCUCCUCUCCCCUCCCUUCUCCUCUGCGACUGGCCACUACAGUCCUGCUAAUAAAAUCUCCGACAGGUAAACGGUUGUUUUGGCUUAUUGAGUUUACGGAGCUUUUCCAUCGUCCUUUACAAA